AGUCCAGACUCCUACGGGAGGCAGCAGUGGGGAAUAUUGCACAAUGGGGGGAACCCUGAUGCAGCGACGCCGCGUGGGUGAAGGAGUGCCUCGGUGCGUAAAGCCCUAUCGGCAGGGAAGAAACAGACGGUACCUGACUAAGAAGCCCCGGCUAACUACGUGCCAGCAGCCGCGGUAAUACGUAGGGGGCAAGCGUUAUCCGGAUUCACUGGGUGUAAAGGGAGCGUAGACGGCAUGGCAAGUCAGAUGUGAAAGCCCGGGGCUCAACCCCGGGACUGCAUUUGAAACUGUCAGGCUGGAGUGCAGGAGAGGUAAGUGGAAUUCCUAGUGUAGCGGUGAAAUGCGUAGAUAUUAGGAGGAACACCAGUGGCGAAGGCGGCUUACUGGACUGUAACUGACGUUGAGGCUCGAAAGCGUGGGGAGCAAACAGGAUUAGAUACCCUGGUACA
rnacentral:rRNA from 1 species